UGGGGUUGGGGGUUUAGGAGAGAGAAACCCAAAAAAUUUCUUUCUUCGUUGUUGUUAGCAGCGCCGCCUCCCUCUCCUUCCCAUUUUUCAGCCAAACGGCCAUAGUUUCUAGUGAGCUAGCAGUCUAAAAACAUCUACUCGACGAAAGGAACUUCAUCCUAGCCUUGGUUCGCGCGAUUUAAACUGUAGUCAUGUAAAAUCAGGUCUGAAAUUUUCGUUAACGACGCAGCGUCGCUUUACCAUGAACUCAUGCCUUCUCCGGCGAGUUAAGGCUUCGGGAUGGGUACCAGUUGAUCUCUCCUUCCUGCGCGACCAUUUUCCCUCUAUCAAUCGAGGUUUCCGGUGGAGAACGAUGAACCACCAUGAUCGGUGGCUCCUUCGGUGGCUGUCGAGGCUCAUUCUGACCAAAUGGGCCACUGACUCGACAAAUGGACACUAAAUUUGAGUUCCCCAUGAAAUUCCGAGCAGAGUGGUGUAAGCCUCAUGAAGUUCCAGAGUGGCACGAUUUUCCGGCCGCCGUGCAGCGAAGCUCUGGCAAUACUCCAGUAGGGGCUUAGAGGAAGAAUCAUCUACUCUUCAAGCUGAUCUCAAAUCUGCAAUCCAAUUUUGAAUUUAUAUUCUUGCGGGUAACGAGGAAUCAAAUUUCAAAUAGCACAGUAGCGGGAAAGGAAAAUAGCUUCUAACUAAACUGUAUAACGAUUUUGGUGUCUAAGGAGAGUUAAUAUGUUCGUAGCGUGUGUACGGUUGCUUGGAAGUUGUGGUCACAGAGAAAUUUUUUCCUCUGUGGCAAGAUAAAUCCCAAACUCCUCUACAAAUCUGAAAUUGGGAAGCAGCCAAGGAAUAUGUCAGGGUGUCAUUCUUGAAUUUGUCUUCGUCGAGAUCUAGUUGGGAAAAGGCCAAUGGCUGUUAUGUAUAGAUGUGGAUAUAGGGUUGAUGGUAGUCUUUUCCAUCUCAAAAAGAAGGCUGGGUGCGGUGUUCUUGGAUCUCUCAUGGCUGGUUCGACAGGUUUUAAUUAUUGAGGUAAUGGACCUGAAUUUCUGAGGCCAAUGGCUUUGACGUAUGCGCUUCGUUGGCUUAAGUUGUACAAGCGUAUUUUAACAUUGAUAUUGAAAUUGAUUGCAAGGAGGUUUUUCGUACCAUGCUAUCCUGUCAGUUGGACCUUUUAUAGUUUGGACAUAUUCUUCAUUAUUGCAUGAUAUUUUUGGAGCAGGAUAACAUUUUAUAUUCUUAGAUGGGUAGGCAAGCUAACAAUGCUAAGUUGUACAAGCGUAUUUUAACAUUGAUAUUGAAAUUGAUUGCAAGGAGGUUUUUCGUACCAUGCUAUCCUGUCAGUUGGACCUUCUAUAGUUGGGACAUAUUCUUCAUUAUUGCAUGAUAUUUUUGGAGCAGGAUAACAUUUUAUUCUUAGAUGGGUAGGCAAGCUAACAAUGCUAAGUUGUACAAGCGUGUUUUAACAUUGAUAUUGAAAUUGAUUGCAAGGAGGUUUUUCGUACCAUGCUAUCCUGUCAGUUGGACCUUUUAGAGUUUGGACAUAUUCUUCAUUAUUGCAUGAUAUUUUUGGAGCAGGAUAACAUUUUAUUCUUAGAUGGGUAGGCAUGCUAACAAUGCUAAGGCUCUCAUCUCUCUAAAUGAAAAAUAACUUUUUUUUAAGGGUAUUAAUAAAUUUAAGGUGGAAAUAAUAUUUGAAAAUUUUCUAUUUUUAUUAGUUUUAUCUAUAAGUGGACUCAUCAAUAAGGUCAAAAUAAGUUUAAUCCGCUAGUUCUAAAUUUAUAACAUGAGCCUCUAAACUCUUUAUUGCCUAUUUAUACUUUUUGAUGUUGCUAUAGAUUGUUUCACUUAACUUUUUAUGUUUUAGGUUGGCUAUAUAUGUAACUCCUAUAACGAUAGACUAUUCAUGAAUUAUUCACUUUUGGAAGUGUGUAUUCAAUUAAUUUAUAUAUGUUUAUCAAUUUGAGUCAUUAAUUAAAUUUAAUUACCAAUUAAUCUUAUAAUAAUAAAUUAAACAUUAUUAUGACCUAUAUGAAAAGAUUAAUAUGAAAUUACUUUCUUGGAUAAUACACUAACAUUUAGUUUUGGAUCUAAAUCAUUGUCCAAUGCUCUCUAAUCUCGUAUGCUAAACAUCGAAUUUUAUUAAACAAUAUAUUAAUAAAAUGAGUAAUAUAAGUAACAUAUGAACUUAGAAUUAUUUUUGUUGCUAUUAAAUAAUAAUUGUUGAAAGCUAAGUUUCCUACCCCUUAUGUUUAUAAUUAGACUAGCUUAUGAAUCCUCUUCGAGUUUCAUCAUACUCUAGUCAUGAUCUUCUUGGUAAUCCUUGUAACAAAUCUUGUUUGCUUUGGGAGACACCUAAUGAAGUGGCUGUCCCAAAUUUAAUAUGGAUGGAUCAUCUAGAGAAAAUCCAGGUUGUGCAGGUAUUGGAGGCGUUUUAAGAGAUACUAGGGGAGUUGUUCUUGGUUAUAUUUUUUCAAUCAAUAGGCUUGGCAGAUUCAAAUGAAGCUGAGGUGUUAAACAAAAAGGAAAGGACAUGGAAUUGGUGGGAACUAUUUAAUAAGUUGGAUUUCUUGGUAGAGUCUCUUCCAUAGAUUGUUUUUAGUCAUGUGGUCAGGGAGAGAAACAAUUUUGCUGAUGGAUUAGCAAAGACAGGAGUUGAUACGCCUACAUCUUUUGUUUUGUUAAAUGAAACCUUCUUAACUCAAGAAGAGUUCUCUUAUCCAGAUUGUAUGGAAGUAUAUGUAAUUAUUUUCCUUCAGAGAUUUUUUACUUAAGAAUGCCAAGAUUAGGAUAUUGUGUA